AUUGAACGCUGGCGGCAGGCCUAACACAUGCAAGUCGAGCGAGCGGCGGACGGGUGAGUAAUGCCUGGGCAUUGCCCCGUCGAGGUGGAUAACAGUUGGACACGACUGCUAAUCCCGCAUCCGAUUCGCUUCCCCAGGUGGGAUUAGCUAGUUGGUGCGGUAAUGGCUCACCAAGGCGACGAUCCCUAGCUGGUCUGAGAGGAGGAUCAGCAACACUGGAACUGAGACACGGUCCAGACUCCUACGGGAGGAAGCAGUGGGGAAUAUUGGACAAUGGGGGAAACCCUGAUGCAGCCAUGCCGCGUGUGUGAAGAAGGCCUUCGGGUUGUAAAGCACUUUCAGCGAGGAGGCGUUACUCGCAGAAGAAGCACCGGCUAACUCCGUGCCAGCAGCCGCGGUAAUUC
rnacentral:rRNA from 1 species